rnacentral:rRNA from 1 species
AGUGAACGCUGGCGGUAGGCCUAACACAUGCAAGUCGAACGGCAGCACAGUAAGAGCUUGCUCUUACGGGUGGCGAGUGGCGGACGGGUGAUGAAUUCAUCGGAAUCUCCUUUUUCGUGGGGGAUAACGUAGGUAAACUUACGCUAAUACCGCAUACGACCUACGGGUGAAAGCAGGGGAUCUUCGGACCUUGCGCGAUUGCAUGAUCCGAUGUCGGAUUAGCUAGUUGGCGGGGUAAAGGCCCACCAAGGCGACGAUCCGUAGCUGGUCUGAGAGGAUGAUCAGCCACACGGGAACUGAGACACGGUCCAGACGCCUAAGGGAGGCAGCAGUGGGGAAUAUGGGACAAUGGGCGCAAGCAUGAUCCAGCCAGACCGCGUGGGUGAAGAAGGCCUUCGGGUUGUAAAGCCCUUUUGUUGGGAAAGAAAAGCAGCAGGUUAAUACCACGCUGUUCUGACGGUACCCAAAGAAUAAGCACCGGCUAACUUCGUG